GAUGAACGCUCGCUCCAGGCUUAACACAUGCAAGUCGAGGGGCAGCAUGGUCUUAGCUUGCUAAGGCCGAUGGCGACCGGCGCACGGGUGAGUAACACGUAUCCAACCUGCCGUCUACUCUUGGACAGCCUUCUGAAAGGAAGAUUAAUACAAGAUGGCAUCAUGAGUCCGCAUGUUCACAUGAUUAAAGGUAUUCCGGUAGACGAUGGGGAUGCGUUCCAUUAGAUAGUAGGCGGGGUAACGGCCCACCUAGUCUUCGAUGGAUAGGGGUUCUGAGAGGAAGGUCCCCCACAUUGGAACUGAGACACGGUCCAAACGCCUACGGGAGGCAGCAGUGAGGAAUAUUGGUCAAUGGGCGCAGGCCUGAACCAGCCAAGUAGCGUGAAGGAUGACUGCCCUAUGGGUUGUAAACUUCUUUUAUAAAGGAAUAAAGUCGGGUAUGUAUACCCGUUUGCAUGUACUUUAUGAAUAAGGAUCGGCUAACUCCGUG
rnacentral:rRNA from 1 species